UUAUACACCUUGAAGCAUAUUGGGAAAAUUGCCACAGCACUUUGCAAAUUCUCCCAUCAUGAGGUGGAGUGCAUUUCAGGCUGGCUUUGUGACUUGCUUUGGCCAAUAAUAUAAAUGACACUGGGUGAGUUAUAAGCCUAGUUCAAGAGGCAUUGCAGCUACAUCUCUUGCUCUUCUUGGAAUACUGAGACUACCAUCAUGUGCUCAAGCCCAGACUACCCUCCUAGAUGAUAAAAAACACAUGGCUCAGUUGAUACCCAUAACCACAGAGUUGAUAGCCAGCCUAUCUCCAAAGCAGAGCUUCCCAACUGACUCAAAACUAUACACAAAGUGAAUGAGCCCAGCCAAGAUCAGCAGUGGAACUGCCUGCCUGAAGAUAGCCCAAAUACAAACCUACAGAAUCAUGACCUCUGUAAAUGGGUGUGUUAAGCCACUGAGUUUUGGAUGGUUUGUACACAGCCAUAGAUAACCAGUAAAGAUAUUCAGAGGUAAUUAGAAGGUGUUUCAUCCUAUGCCCUGUCAAUAGAAACACAAGUAAAAUAACCAAACAAAGCUCAUUGGGAAAUGUGUAAUGAAAGUCAUAAUGCAGGAACAACAUUUUCAAGAGGAACUACAUUAAGCAAGUAUUUUCACAGCAGGUAGCUGUCCAAGGGAGAGAUUGCUGAAGCUUGGUGGCGGUGAUGGUUGUGCAUUGGCAGUGAAGGUCCAGAAGUUUCUCCAGUUCUUAAGAGAGAGGAAUCCCUGGCUCAAGAGAAUGGAGUCACUUGCCCAGGGUCAUCCAACUGAGCUGGUGCCCUUUGCACUCCCCAAGCUGCUUCUCUCUGGGUUUGGUAAAGGUUUUUUGUCUUUACGAGAAACAGAGAUGGAGCCUCACUGUUGUCAAGGCUGGUCUCAAACUCCUGGUCUCAAGCGAUCCUCCCACCUUGGCUUCCCAAGACACCAGUUCUUUUAUUUCAUCCUCCCCAAAUCUCUGAGCUCGGACUUCUAUUCUGGGGUGAAUUUGGGGUAAUCGUGACAAUGACAACAGACAAAAUUACUGAUGCUGGGAGCAGCAAGUUGGGUUUGGAGGUCAUUGCUAAGCUGUAAAAGAAGUGAUUUGACUAUAAACUUUGGCUGGGCCUCCCUGAACGGGAUCACAUACCACAAUGGAACCUCUGACAGGAAAGGUGGCUUCCCUCAUGCCCCAUCGUACUUUUUCAUCAUUCUUUAGAACCAUGGAGGAGUUCAAAUACCAGCUCAGACACUUCCUUGCUAGAUGACCUCAGUUCAGGAACUUGUUCAGUUUGAAAAGGGAAGAAGAAAGUCAGGGAUGGUUUCUUCUUGUGUCGUGGUGUCUCAAAUCUAAAAGGGCAGAGAAGAUGUGAACUGAGAGGGGCUCACCGAAAUCUGGAAAGGCCAUUGUCACAGUGGUGGUGGGAGGCACCUGAUUUCCUUGACACCUACUUUACACCACGUACUUUCUGUAUUGCCAUUGAACCUGUGACCACCUUGUUCAGCAGAAGGAGGAACGUGCCGUGACGAGAGAAGGCUGAAUGUUUGCUGCCUCUGGAGGAAGUGAGAGCUGCUCAAAGGUGGUGACCACGGCUUCAAGGCAACUCAUGAAUCUCUACUCAAACCCUCCAGUGGCUGCCUGUUUUACUUAGAGUAAAAGCCCAAGUCUUACAGGGGCCUAUGAAGUCUUUAUCUGUCAGAGUCCAACUGGGAAACACAAUCCAUACCAGGGGAAGUUUUCUCUGAUGCUCACACGAUGUGGGAACUUGUCACAUCUUCAAUCUCCGGGAACGUCCUCACCUGAAAUUGAAAGGUAGAACAAAGGCAGUCAAGGGUGCAAGGAUAUUAGAAGCUGUGUUCUGUGAGCUUUCAUGAAGGCUGUGGAAGGAUCCAGGCAGGAUGGCCUCAAAUUAAGAUUUUAAUGACUCUUUGGUUUAGAAAACACACUCUUGCUGUUAACGCUAUCUUAUCAGGUAUCAUUUUUGAAUUCACAGAUGAAAGUUAAAAAAUUCAUAAUUAUACAAAUACUUGCCUUGUA